AUUGAACGCUGGCGGCAGGCCUAACACAUGCAAGUCGAACGAGUGGCGGACGGGUGAGUAAUGUCUGGGAAACUGCCUGAUAGAGGGGGAUCACUACGGGAAACGGUAGCUAAUACCGCAUACCAUGGGAUUGGCACAUAUGGGAUUAGAUAGUGGGUGGGGUAAAGGCUCACCUAGGCGACGAUCCCUAGCUGGUCUGAGAGGAUGACCAGCCACACUGGAACUGAUACACGGUCCAGACUCCUACGGGAGGCAGCAGUGGGGAAUAUUGCACAAUGGGCGCAAGCCUGAUGCAGCCAUGCCGCGUGUAUGAAGAAGGCCUUCGGGUUGUAAAGUACUUUCAGCGGGGAGGCGUUACCCGCAGAAGAAGCACCGGCUAACUCCGUGCCAGCCGCCGCGGUAAUUC
rnacentral:rRNA from 1 species